AGCAGCCGCGGUAAUUCCAGCUCCAAUAGCGUAUAUUAAAGUUGUUGCAGUUAAAAGCUCGUAGUUGAACUUCAGGCCUGGCUGGACGGUCCGCCUUCCGGGCGAGCACUGUCUGUGGUCGGGUCCUACCUUCUGGCGAAGCGUCAUGGCCUUUACCGGCCGUGGCGGGGAACCAGGACUUUUACUGUGAAAAAUUGAGUGUUCAAAGCAGGCUCGCGCUUGAAUACAUUAGCAUGGAAUAAUGGAAUAGGACGAUGGUUCUAUUUUGUUGGUUUCCAGGACCGUCGUAAUGAUUAAUAGGGAUAGUUGGGGGCAUUAGUAUUCAAUUGUCAGAGGUGAAAUUCUUGGAUUUAUUGAAGACUAACUACUGCGAAAGCAUUUGCCAAGGAUGUUUUCAUU
rnacentral:rRNA from 1 species